UGCGUAGGUGGUUGGUUAAGUUUGAGGUGAAAGCUCCGAGCUCAACUCGGAAAAUGCCUUGAAGACUAUCUGACUAGAGGAUUGGAGGGGAGAUUGGAAUUCUCGGUGUAGCAGUGAAAUGCGUAGAUAUCGAGAGAAACACCAGUGGCGAAGGCGAAUCUCUGGACAAUUCCUGACACUGAGGCACGAAAGCCAAGGGAGCAAACG
rnacentral:rRNA from 1 species